UACAGAGGUCUCAAGCGUUGUUCGGAUUCACUGGGCGUAAAGGGUGCGCAGGCGGCCAAGUGUGUUAGGCGUGAAAGCCCGGGGCUUAACCCCGGAAUUGCACCUAAAACUACAUGGCUAGAGCAUUGGAGAGGGUAGCGGAAUUCACGGUGUAGCAGUGAAAUGCGUAGAUAUCGUGAGGAACACCAGAGGCGAAGGCGGCUACCUGGACAAUUGCUGACGCUCAGGCACGAAAGCGUGGGGAGCAAAAGGG
rnacentral:rRNA from 1 species